rfam:Equus caballus cont2.26843, whole genome shotgun sequence.
GCCGACGAGCCCGGCUGGCCCCGUGCGUACGGGAAAGGGGCAGGCUAGAGCUUCCUUGACGACCAUUAGGUACCUUCGGAGACUACAUUUCCCAGAUGGCCCCGCGCGGCGCGGGGCUGAUGGGGGAAGCGCCGAGGGCCCAGUGCGCAGACGCGAGAGCCCCCUCUGGUUAUAUAAGGGAGGG